rnacentral:rRNA from 3 species
CCCGUUCCCAUACCGAACACGGAAGUUAAGCUCUUCAGCGCCGAUGGUAGUUGGGGGUUUCCCCCUGUGAGAGUAGGACGUUGCUAGGC